UAUACAUACAUACUGGUGUUAUUUACACAGGUAUACGGAUAUAUAUAUAUAUAUAUAUAUAUACUGGUGUUAUUUAUAAAGGUGUGUCUUAUAUUUACUGACACACUUUGACAUUACAUGACUUUCAAAACGUACCAUGUAUUUGAAUAAUCAGGAAUUCAAACGUGUUUAUCUUUGAUAAUAGCAAAUAAGUAAUAAUUAGCUAAUUAAUGACAGCUAUCAUUGGGAAGAGUCAAGAUACAGUAACAAUAUGUAAAUAAUUAAUCAAAAUGGCCUUAAUAAUGAGGAACACACACAUUAUCAUAGUCAAUUAACUGGUGAAAACUAAGUCAUCAUCACGUACUUGUUAUUAAAACAUUAAAAACAUGAUAUAAUUCACCUUCACUACUGAGUAACUAGGAAGUGUUGCAAUUUAUAGAAUUAUUUCUAUUUGACCCUCUUUAGUUAUUGUGAGGAGAAAAAGUAGUAUUUUCCAUAUUAGGACAAAUUAGACCUUUUGUUGUGAUUCCAAAAUAGAAAGGCGAGCAUCUGACAUUGUAAACAGCAGAAAGUAGCUCUGUAGGACCAGCGGGACACAUGAACCCAGAUCGUGUUUGACCUUUUCCAGUCUGAGUAGUUAAUCCUGUCUGAUCUGUUUCCAGAGGUCACAUCACCACCCUAUAACUCCCCCACAGCCAUCAGCAAGGCAGUGGACAUGGGUUGGGUAUCAAACCUCUCAUCUAUUUGUUUCUUUCAUGACAUAGUUCCUGAUUUAAAGUAAAUAUUAUCAGUAUUAUUUUGUACAAUUUUCCACAUUUGAUCAGAGCAUGACGCGACCAAACACAUAACCUUCUUCAGGCACAGAAAGCAGACAGACACACCAACAAAUUGCUGUGUUUUCCUCAUCGCCUCUAUCAGUCUAACCUGCUAUUAUCUCAACCAUCCCUCUCUCUAUCUCUGUCUCACCCGCUUCUCGACAAACAAACAACACCAGGUCCCUAACAAGCCCACAUGGGGAUUGGCCCUUCCAACCGGCUCAUCUCGGCACUGAUUGGCUGAAGGAUGUGCUUUCACUCUGCGGGGGCGAUACGAUGAUCUAGUGCAAUUAUUAUAUUCUUUACUGUUUUGUACUGGUUCAGAACUUCGAUGCUGCACCCUCAUUGUAGUAAUUGUAUUGGGAGGGAGCUUCCUAUCGCUUUUACUCCAAUCUGAGUCAUGUCUGAAAUGGCACACAGAAAGGUCUUUCUUCUUCAUUCUCAGCUAACAACAACAAAAUCAAAUUUAAUGAGCCCUCUUGGGAGAGACAGGGGCACCCUCCCACUGCUUUCAUUGGUCGAUGGAAGCCUUAUUUUACUCUUCAGAGGUGAGGCCGGGAUCUGCAACAGUACCUAAUCAUAUACGAACCCUAUUCUUUUGUUCAAUCCUUUGUGAUGCAUCUAGCAGGCAGAGAGCAUUACGAAAGUCAUAUGUUUUUUGGUUGCCCCAUUCCUUUUUUUUAUUUAGCAAGAGAAGCGCUUGCACAGGAUACAGGUGCCGCUUGCAUUUUGAAAAUCAGGUGUUAAAUAAAGGAUAGCACUCUUAUUUAUUUAUUUAAAGUCUCCAUGCUUAAUUUGACCAUGAACCACUACAGCUGUUCAACCAUCCUUGACCAUGUGUGUUUCACUGUAUACUGUAUUAAACAUGUAAACACGUUCUCAUACACACUCGUCACAUAUCGACGCUUUGUUAGACCCCCUCUGCGUCACUUUUCGGUCACAUUAAACACAUGCUUAACGUGGUGAAUUAAACAAAAACACUUUCUUAGGUUUAGGCAACAAAACCACUUAGUAAGGGUUGGGAUUAAAAUUACUACGUUUGUGCAGUGAAAAUAUGACUAGACUAAAGAAAGAAAAACAACUACAAAAAUAGGGAAAAUCUUGCAAAAUAUCUUGAUCAAAUGUGACUUUAGUUUAAACAAGCAUGGCGGAUGACAGGCAGGAAGAAUUAGCAAUUCGUUUUUGCUCUACUUUGUAAUGAAAAUUCACAAAGGAUGGAUGGAUGAAGUCAUUGAGACACGUUAAAUAAACACUUCCAUAUUACUACUUUAUGCCUCGCGAUUUGCAUUAGCCCCAUGCAAUAGCCGCGGCCGUCAUGACAGUCAGCUUGGUUUGCAAUUGGCUAUCGUCCUUUCCCACGUGACUGCGUCAUCGUCUGUCCUCUGGGUUCCCCACACACAACAAGAUAUCCGAACAUGUUCAAUAUUUACGAUUUGAGAGCGGUGCGGCCAAGAUGGACUUCUGAGCCGAUCGGGGAUGUAAAAACACUCACACCACAGGGAUAUCUGGAAAGAUAAUCUUUAGAACCAUCAAAAAAUCGGGGCUUUGCUGACGUUUGUCGGGAUAGGGGAAUGUAAUGCGUACCCGGCACUACUUAAGUUAAAGCUGUGAAACCGCAUAGUGGUUCUUUCCAGGUGCAGUGUGUUAGUAUAGAACUAACACAACACCUGUGCUAAUUCUAAUUGUUGGAUUCUAGAAUAGUCUGAUGUCAUAGAUACAUUCCAAACACAGCGGUUGCCUUCCAACUCCCCACUUCCCACGCUGUAAUUCUUCAGUCACUCGCAAUGUUAAUUAUUCUGAACUCCACAUGUGCUCUCAAACAGUGAAAGUGAACUUACUGGGCCGCGCUCCGGAGGAGGUGCUUUUACACGCACCAUCAACUUGAGUCUCUCCAGCUGCUCACUGGAAAACCUUGUAUGUCUAAACUCGGCAACAACAGAGUUCAGUGGGUUAUUCACCAGUUUAGAUCCACUUAGAUCAGUGAGCCUCACUGCUUCUAUUAAAACCCUUCUUUCUCGCUGUGUAA